rnacentral:rRNA from 1 species
GACAGAGGUGCCAAGCGUUAGGCGGAAUCACUGGGCUUAAAGCGUGUGUAGGCGGAUCGUUAAGUACCUUGUGAAAUCCCACGGCUCAACCGUGGAACUGCUUGGUAUACUGGCGAUCUUGAGCCAGCUAGGGGCUACCGGAACAAAUGGUGGAGCGGUGAAAUGCGUAGAUAUCGGGAGGAACAUCAGUUGCGAAGGCGGCUCUCUGGACCAGCACUGACACUGAGGCACGAAAGCGUGGGGAGCAAACAGG